rnacentral:lncRNA from 1 species
ACAUCAAGUUUCCAUCGACAACAGGAGAACCAGCUGGGAGUGCUGGUUGAGUGACGCGUGCUGACUACCAGGGCUCCCCUCAGUGAGCUGCUGACUGAGAUCCACCUCCAUGAGGAGGAAAUGAAAUCACCAGCCCACAGUCAUUAAAGGGAAACUUGGCAGAAAGUGCGACGGGAAGGUCUGAUGUCCGGGAAAGGAGUGGAAGUUGUCAGCUCCCUCCCAAGGGAGC